rnacentral:rRNA from 1 species
GUGGGGAAUAUUUGACAAUGGGCGAAAGCCUGAUCCAGCCAUGCCGCGUGUGUGAAGAAGGUCUUCGGAUUGUAAAGCACUUUAAGUUGGGAGGAAGGGCAGUAAGUUAAUACCUUGCUGUUUUGACGUUACCAACAGAAUAAGCACCGGCUAACUUCGUGCCAGCAGCCGCGGUAAUACGAAGGGUGCAAGCGUUAAUCGGAAUUACUGGGCGUAAAGCGCGCGUAGGUGGUUCAGCAAGUUGAAGGUGAAAUCCCCGGGCUCAACCUGGGAACUGCAUCCAAAACUACUGAGCUAGAGUACGGUAGAGGGUAGUGGAAUUUCCUGUGUAGCGGUGAAAUGCGUAGAUAUAGGAAGGAACACCAGUGGCGAAGGCGACUACCUGGACUGAUACUGACACUGAGGUGCGAAAGCGUGGGGAGCAAACAGGAUUAGAUACCCGGGUAGUCC